CCUACGGGGGGCAGCAGUGGGGAAUAUUGGGCAAUGGGCGCAAGCCUGACCCAGCAACGCCGCGUGAAGGAAGAAGGCUUUCGGGAUGUAAACUUCUUUUGUCAGGGAAGAGUAGAAGACGGUACCUGAAGAAUAACCCACGGCUAACUACGUGCCAGCAGCCGCGGUAAUACGUAGGUGGCAAGCGUUGUCCGGAUUUACUGGGUGUAAAGGGCGUGUAGCCGGGUUGACAAGUCAGAUGUGAAAGCCUGCGGCUUAACCGCAGAACUGCACUUGAAACUGUUGAUCUUGAGUACUGGAGAGGCAGACGGAAGUCCUAGUGUAGCGGUGAAAUGCGUAGAUAUUAGGAGGAACACCAGUGGCGAAGGCGGUCUGCUGGACAGCAACUGACGGUGAGGCGCGAAAGCGUGGGGAGCAAACAGGAUUAGAUACCCUAGUAGUC
rnacentral:rRNA from 1 species